GGCUUUUUCAACCCCCUCAGAAAUUCUAGUCCAUGGGGGGGGGAUAUGCCACUUAAAGGGUUAAAAACGUAAAUACCACAGCACAACACUUAUAUACAUAUAUACAUAUACAAGUAAUACAACAGCAAUCCUUUUAUAUAUUUAAUAGUCAUAUUUACAUAUUGGUGAAAUAUCAAUGUCCAUAUAUUAGGGAUGUCCAUGAACUUGCCCCUAGUUUGAAGCUAAUGCAUUCAUAUCUUUUGUAUAAGUUGUCCCUCUACAAACCAACUUUUAGUCAUUAUACAAGAGUUGAAUUUUAAUUCAUUUGCUUCGCAAGUCGCAACAAACUGAACAAAGUACUAAACCAUAAACCUGUGCAACGAUCGAGCGUCUUUAGCGACAUAUCCAAGUCUUUUAAACGUCUCAUACGAACAAAUCUCACUGAGUUUUUUCUACAGAAAGUAUUGAUCCAGUUGAUCGAUCGCCGUACUUUGAGAAAAGCUUGAAAUGCAAAAUUCACAGGGAAGAUUGAAGAAUUUCGGAGAUAAAAACUGUUUGUCUUCGAGUUUCACCUAUUC